UAGACAUGAAAAGUAUUUUUUUUAAAGUAAUUUAAAAUGUUUUACUAUUAUCACAUACUAGGGGUUCCCUAAAUAAUGUUGAUAUUAAUAUAUAAGAGUAGAUAAAUAAUUUUUUGUUUGGACCCGAUUGAACACUUUUUUUGUCAGUGUGGAGGCAGCCAUCUUGCAAUUUCCUUGCAAUUAUUUAAUCUCUUGUCGAUAGUUAUUCAUUAGAAAAAGUGCUUGGGAGAGCAUAUGAUAUCAGCAGCCAGUCAGAGUCUGAGAUUUGGAGAGUAGCUCCCCGGAUCCCACUAUUCAGGAAACAGGAAGUGGUUAGUUUUACUCUCGUAUGGUCCACAUGAUAGCAGCAAACUUUUCUCCUUCUCCAAUUAUACUUUUUUCAAAAGAAUGGCCAUUUUACUUUGCAGCAACCACAAGCAUAUAGAUAAUGUACAAAGUAACUGAAGUAAAGUUAAAUUCUCCCAAAAGUAAACUACUAUGCAACAAAUAUUGUAAGUACUGCAGGACUUUCUAUGAAAACAUCAAAUUUAGCCACUUUUUUAAAAAAUGAACACCUGUUAGGGCCUCAACAUAUAGAUGUGUUUGUGUGUAUACAGACACCGAGCACUACAUCUUGCCUGCAAGCCUGGCUGACAUCAAAAUUUCAGCUCCUAUUGACAGAACCUUUCUCUAACAUAAUGCAUAUAUGUCUUCAAAGUUAAAUUUAAAUUAGCAAGCAAGAACUCCGAAAUCACUGCUGACAGCUGGGUCUCUGGGGACAUACCCAGCUAGCACUAAAAGUAAUAACACUUUCAACUCUACACCUGUUAUGCUCACUCCAAAUUUAGAUAUCCUAACCGUCUGCUCCAUGACACCUACCUUGACCCAUGGUGUGUUCAGUCAGACCAAUAAUAUGACAGGGAGAAUUCUUAAGCCUUGAUCCUCCAGCGUUCCCAAGUAUAAUUUUAAGAAUUCUAAAGACCCAAACUGCGAGGAGAAAACAUAUAAUGAAAAGGAAGUCUUCAUAUGGCAGAUAGUCUAAGAUUUAUGAAAUCAUGGUAAUUAAAUUCUGUCCUGAAGAAGCUGCAGCUAACUCGUGUUCUGGCUUAAUGCAGCAAGCGUUUCCCUGCAUUAACCAGUCUGCAUUAAAUUGUUAUAAUAUUUACCUCUUCAUUACAGCCCUCCAUUCAAUUCUACUAACAUCUCAUGCUGACUACACACACUACUUGUUUUUGAUACUAUAUAAUUUGUUCUUAGAUGUCCAAACUUUACAUAAGGGUGGAGGAUAGCUAAACAGCUAGAUCACUAGAUAGUUCAGCAGACAGACAUAUAGAUACACAUUCAUACUCGCACUAGUUCUUAACAAGGUAUAUUAUAAAUUCAAAUCAAGAAAUGUAAAUAUAUUCACACUCUACACUCACCAAUUGAGGAAUUGCGUGCAACCUAAAAGAAUUGGGAGAAGAUGCCAAAUAUAACGUACCUUCAAAGAGUUUGUUGUAGUGCAAUUGUCUAUAAUUAAAAGCUUUGUCCAGGUGUUGUUAAUGAGUCUAGGUUCUACGGGCAACAUAAAUAUAACUACUCUACUUGAUGAAUAACGCAGAAUUUUUGCCAGUUAGAUAAAUCCUAAGAACAGGAGAGUUCCAGGACUGGAAUUUAGAAGGUUAGACAUGUUCAGUAGAUAAAAUGUACCACGUGGGCAAUAUAUAUCGACCCUGCAACACCAAACUCAACAAAUAGGUGUCUCGAGCUUUUGCAUCCAUGAAGAUGCUGCAAAGGGGCCAACAAUAAACAUAAAACAAACCAAAAAUCGGCCUUGAAGGUAAAAUUGCCUGGUUUGUUAUGAUAUAGGAAAAUGGCCUUUUCUGUUGUGGCCUGUGCUUGUAUAAUUAUACUAACAUCAAACGUUCCUUCCUCCUUGCUCACAAUUCCCACCCAUGACUACUACUUGAGCCAGACCUGUCAAACUUGGAGAUUGUGCGUAGCUUGCCAUGCAUGCAGUUGGAGGUUAUUUGCACGUGUGUUUUAUACACCACCGCUAUGCAUUGUCUCUCCCAACUUCUUAGAGUUUAGACAAUAUGUGCUAUAUUGGGAGGGGAACCUCUGGAACUUUGUUUCCUUGCUUUUGGUGAUAAUCUUGCACUGUAUACAUUUAUGCCUGGGCAUGGAAAUACAUAGGGUUUGUAUAGCUCACUCAUGUCUUGACAUGCUUCGUUUACAUUAUUUGCAUUAUUGACUAUCUUUGCUCGUUGUAGCAUAGAAAAUACAUUGCUUUAAAGUAGAUCUUAAGACAAGAG